rnacentral:rRNA from 1 species
UACGAAGGGGGCUAGCGUUGCUCGGAAUCACUGGGCGUAAAGGGUGCGUAGGCGGGUCUUUAAGUCAGGGGUGAAAUCCUGGAGCUCAACUCCAGAACUGCCUUCGAUACUGGCGAUCUUGAGUCCGGAAGAGGUGAGUGGAACUCCUAGUGUAGAGGUGGAAUUCGUAGAUAUUAGGAAGAACACCAGUGGCGAAGGCGGCUCACUGGUCCGGUACUGACGCUGAGGUGCGAAAAGCGUGGGG